CUGCCGGCGACCGGCGCGCGGGUGAGUAACACGUAUGCAACCUGCCCUCCGCAGGGGGAUAACCCGGAGAAAUCCGGACUAAUACCGCGUGGUACAUCUGUGGGGCAUCCCACGGGUGUUAAAAGGAAGCGAUUCCGGCGGAGGAUGGGCAUGCGGCGCAUUAGCUAGUUGGCGGGGUAACGGCCCACCAAGGCGACGAUGCGUAGGGGUUCUGAGAGGAAGGUCCCCCACACUGGUACUGAGACACGGACCAGACUCCUACGGGAGGCAGCAG
rnacentral:rRNA from 1 species